GAAAUAUUAAUACAUAUAUAAUAUUGGCAAAACUAGUCUACGAAGAUAAUUUAUUUUGAAAAGUUUCCAUUUAUGAUAUAUUAUUUUUCUUAUAUUCUUAAAUAUUAUGAUAAUGGGAGUGUGCUGUCUUCAGAAUUGUAUGGCACAAUUAAUUUUAUAUUGAUGAUAGAUCAAAUGUUUGAUUAUAUGAAUACAAGAAAUUGUCUUGGGAAGGGAUAUAAAGCCCCGCUAUAUAUAAAUAAUAUGAUUCCAGAAUAUCAAAUUCAUUUUGAUAUUCUGUAUUCAAACCUUAAAACUUUAAGGUUAACAAAUGGUGAAUACGUUUAUAAAUCUUCAAAAAAAACAUGUGUAGAGGGGCUUAUUCUCUCCAUGACAAGUAUCCUGGAAAUUGGAAAGGAGUUAUUAAUUGGAGAAAAUCCUAAAAUGAAGUUCUUUUUAACAUAUAAAACAUCACAAGAUCAUUUAGAAUUAUAAUUUUGUAGUAUUCGUAGCAGGAGUGGAUUUAAUGAUAAUCCAUCAGCUUAUCAACUACAAUCUGCUGUUCGCACUCCAUUAAUGGUGAAAUUAGAUCCAACAAUCAUGGGAAAUAGCAUUUCCUUAGAUAAUACGCAAGUAUUAUGUUCAAAUUGCAAAUAUUAUGUUCAAAUUUUCAAAAUAAUCAUGAUAAUGAUGUUAACAUUAUCAAACCUAUAGCCAAUCUAGUACCCAUACCCACCACUUCAUCUUAUUAUUUUAGAAACACAAACCAAACAUAUUCCGAAAUUAUUUUUAUAUUUAGAUAAUGUAUCAAUUAUAUAUCGGGAUAUAUUGUACACCAACUUAUUAAAGAAAAAAAUCUACAUUGUGAUGUUUGCAUUACAGCAAUGGUUAGUGAUUCUUAUAAUGAUAAUAAUAUCAAUAAUAUGCUAAUAAAUAUUAAAAAUAAUGGGGGGGUUGGUGAUAGCUUCUACUAGUAUGUCCAAACUAUGCAGAAUAUGUGAAAGUUCAUUUAGAACUUAUCAAAAUGAAAUCAUACAUAAAAAUAUUUUUAAAAAAAUGGAAGUAUUAAUUUUUUCCAAAAUAAUAGUCACAAAUCUCUUUAUCGAUCUUUGUGAUCAUAUCAUUGAACAUGAAAUUGGGUAUAGCCAUUUUCAAAUUCUUGUAAAAUUAAUUGUUCAAAAGUAACCAAUUAUUAGAUUUUAUACUAUUUUUUUUAAAGAUAUUUAAAUAUUAGAUUUUAUCAUUUUGCUGACUUAAGAAACCAGGAAUUGAGAACUGGUAUGUGACAGAAUCUUACGAAAGCAAUACAAUUUAAUAAUUAAUAAUUCAUAUAUAAUAAUAUAUAUAUCUUCUAUUAUAUUUUAAAAAUUAUAUUGUAUAAGGAAUGACCAGAUAUUAGGCAUAUUAUAAAAAUUAUGAUCUUAUAUAUUAUUUAUGCUAAUUAAUUAUAUUAAUUUUUAUAGGUGAAUAUAAUCAAAAAUGACGAAAAUGUACUCAAAAAUAAUAUGAAAGUGAAUUGUUGCAAUAUCUUUUCCUUUUCAAGGCCUAUACAUUUAUAUCAUUAUAUACUUAUUAAUUAUACUUUAAAUAAAUGAUUUAUAUAAUAUAAUUUAUA